CAUUUAUGUAUGCCCAUUUGGCCUUCUUUCAUCAAGGAUAUGAUCUGUUUAGUGAACUUGGACCCUACAUGAAGGAUCUGGGUGCACAGCCGCCAUCAUGAUUAUUUACCAGUACCUCAUCAGCCACAUUGAGAUGUUCUCUGAAAUAUACAAGAUCUGGGAGAUCGCUGAAGGGCUGUGCCUGGAGGUGGAGAGGAAGAUGGUCAGUAGGAAAGAAGGUAACAUUGAUGGUUCGAUUAUUGGUGGAAAUGCCUCCGCGGAAGGCCCUGAGGGCGAAUGUACGGAAAGCACAGUAAUCACUGGUGUCGAUAUUGUCAUGAACCAUCACCUGCAGGAAACACAUUCCACAAAAGGAGCCUGCAAGAAGUACAUCAAAGAUUACAUGAAAUCAAUUAAAGGCAAACUUGAACAGAGACCGGAAAGAGUAAAACCUUUUAUGACAAAGGCUGUAGAACAAAGCAAGCACACCUUUGCUAAUUUCAAAAACUACCAAUUCUUUAUUGGUGAAAACAUGAAUCCAGAUGGCAUGGUAUUGGACUACUGUGAGGAUGGUGUGACCCCAUAUAUGAUUUUCUUUAAGGAUGAUUUGGAAAUGGAAAAAUGUUAACAUAAUUGGCAGUUACUUCCGAUCUAUCACCUGUCAUUGUAACUGGCUUCUGCUUGUCAUCCACACAGCACCAGGACUUAAGAGAAAGGGGACUGAUGUCAUCUUGAGCUCUUUAUUUAUUUUGACCAUGAUUUAUUUGGAGUGGAGGCAUUGUUUUUAAGAAAAACAUGUCAUGUAGGUUGUCUAAAAAUAAAAUGCAUUUAAACUCAUUUGAGAGAAUGCUUUGUAGUUUAAUAUAUAUUUAAACCAAAUUCAUCCUGUAGUGUUCCUGGAGAAGCUAGAGACUGGUUGUAAGCUACUAGAAAGAAUUAAGACUCAUCAAUUAACCUCUACGAAACUACUUCUGG